AUUUCCUGUAGCUCAGUGGAAGAGCAGGUGCCUUGCAUGCAGAAGGUCACGGGUUCAAUCCCUGCAGGAAGCU